AAUUGGAGGGCAAGUCUGGUGCCAGCAGCCGCGGUAAUUCCAGCUCCAAUAGCGUAUAUUAAAGUUGUUGCAGUUAAAAAGCUCGUAGUUGAAUUUCGGGAUCAAUACUUCGGUCAUGCCGUUGGUAUGCACUGUUAUCAUUGAUUUCUCACCUUCUAAAGAACCGUAAUGCCAUUAAUUUGGUGUUACGGGGAAUUAGGACUGUUACCUUGAAAAAAUUAGAGUGUUUAAAGCAGGCUCACGCUUGAAUACAUUAGCAUGGAAUAAUGAAAUAGGACAUCCGAUUCUAUUUUGUUGGUUUCUAGGAUCGAUGUAAUGAUUAAUAGGGAUAGUUGGGGGCAUUAGUAUUCAAUUGUCAGAGGUGAAAUUCUUGGAUUUAUUGAAGACUAACUACUGCGAAAGCAUUUGCCAAGGAUGUUUUCAUUAAUCAAGAACGAAAGUUAGGGGAUCGAAGACGAUCAGAUACCGUCGUAGUCUUAACCAUAAACUAUGCCGACUAGGGAUCGGAUGAUGUUAAUUUUUUAAUGACUCAUUCGGCGCCUUACGGGAAACCAAAGUGU
rnacentral:rRNA from 1 species